CUAUAUUAGCAUGUCUAUCAUCUCCGCAAUGUGCAUUGGCAUCUGCACGAGAACAUCGCAUUGUGAGUGGUACGCAGUAGAUCGGCGAGUAGCUAGCUAAAGCAGCAUGAACUAUAAUCAGAGUACUAGCCUAUUUCAUUUUUGCUUUGCGUAUCUACAAGCCACACUAGCAUAUUGAUGGUAUUAGCACAUUGAUGGCUUAAUGGAGUAGGAUUCACAUGUUGCCACGUUAGUAUGUUAGCAUGUUUUUUCCCUUCCGGCAGCGACUUCCUGAGAGGCAGUGACGACGUUAACAGAGAACUUCUCUCCGAACUGCUGAGCCUCAACCUCAAGAAGCUGGAGAAGGUGCAGAAGAAUCUUCAAAGACUUUUGGACGAGGCUAUUUAAAGAAUUGUGUCAACAUUUAGACAAAAGUCAUACUUGAAUAUAUGCAGAUGAAGAGACCAAAAAUGCAGUGGACAUUUUGGGAAUUUGGAGCGUUUUCGUAAAAUGACAUUUGUAUUUGGAAUUUGUGAGUUAGGUUGCCAGUAGUUUCCAGAACAAAAAUGCUAAUUUCACCCGUAAUAGCAAAAUCUUUCAAAACUGAUCACUUUGCGGAGGUCUUUAAAUUUUUUUUACUGUGAGUUUUAGCUGUAGAUAUAAUUCACUUGUUUUAAAAUAAUGGCUUGUGUGAUGCGUUUGUCACGUGUCACUUAAAAAGAUUGAGUGACGUUUUGAAAAGAGUCAACUUCCUGUCACUGAUGAUGUCAUCCACAGACCUUUUUCUGAAUGAUGUCAUACAUAUUUUCCAGUUGGCAAUUUCCCACAUUGCACCACCAGUAAACCGACCCUUCUAAGUCUUUGA